UCUCUUCCUGGGGUCCAAACAUAUUAAAGUACUUACAUUACAUAUAAAACAAAAUAUAAAACAGUACAUCAAAUAACAUUAUUACACUACUACAUCUCUACAAUACAACAUGUUUAAUACCACCAUACAGCAAUAUCACAAUGUAUGCGUAUGCAUGUGUCUGUACCUUUGUGUGUCUCUUCACAGUCCCCGUUGUUCCAUAAGGUGUAAUUCUCCAUCCAGAUUGUCAGACCCUGGUGGCUUGUCACUGUUGAUAGACAACAAUAAUUCUUUUACCUCUUCCAAACUGACUUUACAGAAUGCAAAAGCACUAUUCUUGUCUUUCAUAAUUUGGUCAGAUAUACUUGGAUGUGUAGUAUCAGUGUUUGCUGCUGGCAUGUCACACCUAAGUUUUCUUAUCUUGCCAAUGAAAAAGUCAUUAAAGUAGAUGGCAAUAUCAGCUGGUUUUGAGAUGAAUGAGCCAUCUGAUUGAUUCAAUGAAUGAUGGAGCUGAGUUUGCCUUUUUUCCCAAUAUUUCAUUUAAGGUGCUCCAAAGCUUUUUACUGUGAUUCUUUAUAUCAUUUAUUUUUGUUUCAUAGUGUAGUUUUAUUUUGUUUAGUCGUGAUUUCUUCAUUUGCAAAACGUUUGCUAAUCAGUUGGGCUGCCAGACCUUUUGCCUCAUCCCUCUCACCCAUACCAUUUUUAAAUUCCUCAGCAUCCACAGGGAUUUAACAGUUUUUACAGUCAUUUUCUUAAUGGGUGCAUGCUAAUUAGUAACUGGAAUAAGCAAUUUCAUAAAUGUGUCAAGUGCAGUGUCUGGUUGCUCCUCAUUACACAUCAAAGACCAGCAAAUAUUAUUUACCUCAUCAACAUAUGACUCACAACAAAACUUCUUGUAUGACGUCUUAUACACUAUUUUAGGCUCAUCCUUUGGAACUUUUCUAAAAUGGAUUAAAUGAAAGUGUAAUGAUCACUUUAAUUGUACUGUAUUUUAAACUCUCUGGUCAGUUCUGUUUGUUUUAGACCAUAGCUGUCAACACUUGACAGUUUUAACUUUUCUAUCUUAUAAAACUGUUAGAGGGUUAUGAGAACAGAGUGACUACCAUACUGUCUCACACACAUCUGUGUGGGUUAAAGACCGUUUCUAUCCAUAGGCAUUGUGGGUACUGAAUAGUGGACUGAAUGGCUGACACACAUAGGCCUGCUGUUUAUUUUAUACUUAAAUACAGUCUGUAUGUAAAUAUGUUUUGUAGUUGGUUAAUGAUGAAACAUGAUAUAUCCACACUAGACUUUUGUGUGGUUUUCAUAAUUCUUCACUUUUUAUAAAUCAAAUGCUGUAAGAUACACAAUGUUGUAAUGUACUUUGUUGCGUGUGUUUUUGUUUUCUACUUUUAUAAAUAAAAUGUUUAAACAAUG